GCCGGCCUGAGAGGGUGGACGGCCCACAUUGGGAACCUGAGAAUGACGGCCCCACGACUCCUACGGGAGGCAGCAGUGGGGAAUAUUGCACAAUGGGCGCAAGCCGGCCUGAGAGGGUGGACGGCCCACAUUGGGAACCUGAGAAUGACGGCCCCACGACUCCUACGGGAGGCAGCAGUGGGGAAUAUUGCACAAUGGGCG
rnacentral:rRNA from 1 species